GAAAACAUCCGAGAAAUUGUAGUUUCAGAUAGGGCUAGCAGACCUGUUUCUUUAUCUUAGCCAUGCACAAAUAUGGCUUCUCUCUCCAACUCUCUUUAGUAAUCUUUGAUGAAAGAACAGUGGUGUGAAUUGCAUUUGUAUCCUUUUUAGUGUGUCUAACACAGUGUUCAUAUAAUGAACUCUGAAUAAUUAUUUAUAGAUUGAAUGAAUAAAUGAACAAUAUAAAUGAUGUCACCAGUGCUA
rnacentral:lncRNA from 1 species